rnacentral:rRNA from 1 species
AACGUAGGGGGCGAGCGUUACUCGGAAUGACUGGGCGUAAAGGGUGUGUAGGCGGCUUCCUAAGUCCGAUGUGAAAGCCCUAGACUCAAUCUAGGAACUGCAUCGGAUACUGGGUUGCUAGAGUGCCAGAGGGGGGAACGGAAUUCCCGGUGUAGAGGUGAAAUUCGUAGAUAUCGGGAGGAACACCGAAGGCGAAGGCGGUUCCCUGGCUGGUUACUGACGCUGAGACACGAAAGCGUGGGGAGCAAACAGG